AAAAUCCCUAAUUAAAAAUGGCAAAACUGUUGCGCUACCAGAUAAAACAAAAUAACUAGAUUGGUAGAUUAAAACCAAAGUGGUGAUCAAACUUGUACGGCAGCACGUAAUCAAGCAUAAUGCUGAAGGGAAGAGAAGUACAAAUAGCCGUCUUGAAAAUUUCAUUACAGAGCCGACUGAAUUCGAGAUUUCUGUAAUGUUUGGAUCAGGUAUCUGUGAAUAUUCCCAUUUCUGCGCCAUAAAAUCGGUAGGAUUGUCUUAUUUUUACCCAAAUUCUUGAUAUGCUACUUGUUGGAAUUCCAAGCCGUUUCCACGUUUUAAUUUCCAGUUUAAUGUGUAAAGUUGAUGGAAUAUAAGUUCACCUUGUCUUAAAAUUGUGAAAGAGAAUUAGGGAGAUAACUCAUUUAUAAAGUUCUUUAAUUGUAAUUUCUAAGGAAUAAAAGAAUGUUAUUACAUGACCUUCAGCACUUUCUUUGUGUGAAAAUUUGAUUUAUUGCAUCAGCACAAGCCUUCCACUCUGAUGCAUUGAACCUGACUUGCAUUGUUCAAGAAUUAACUCAUAUACAUCUUUAUUUUGAGUAUUUGUUGAUGACAGCUUUGCUAUGGACCUUUGGUAAAGAAUUCAUCUUAUUGAUACAUUUAAUCAGAAAAUUUGCAGCAUAAUCUGAGUGCUGCUCCCUCAUUGAUGAGGCUGCUGCCUAUGAAAGUGGUUUGCGAUGUGCAACUCUUCCAAGUUUCCGGUACACGGAAGAACGCCGGAGAGUAGGACUGGUUGCAGAUACUGAACUAUCGUCAAGACUGUAAGGAGCACCAGGGAUAUAGUUGUAGACCGCGAGUGGCGUCCUCACCACAUGUGAUCCAUCUGCCCAAAAGAUUGUGCCUGAGGUGAUCGGCUGCUGUGAAAUGGCUGGUCCCAUAACAUUAACUGUGAAGGUUUGGGUUUCUCCUACAGCUGAGAAUGUUAGGAUGGAGGGUUCAACGCUGACACUGAUCAUUGCAGGCAUGUACAAGAAAACAUUGUAGGUUGAGUUUGCUUCACCAACAUUAGUCACUUUUCUGGUGAAGGUGGCAGAAAUCGGCUGCCCAUCUUCGACAUAUAGUGAGUAGGAUGGGUAGUUAAGAUCCCACGCCCUUCCAGGUAAUAUACCAUUGCAAGUGCUGUUAUCUCCUGUGACUAGCAUGAGAGUGGAAGCAUUGUAGCCUUGUUUGCAGAGGAAGUUGAUGUAAUCUGCUUCUGAUGCAUCGAAUACUAGUCCAGGGUCAGUUGCAGCGACUGGGUUGAUUUGGCCCGAACCAUAUGCGAAUUCAAGAUCCUCACUUUUUUUUGGGUCCAUGACAUAAGCUGAUCAUCAAGGAAGAUUAUCAUGAACAAAUAUGUCAUCAACUCUUCAAACAUUGUUUGAUAGUAUGAAUGAAAUGAAGUGAUUCACCUGUGGUCAUGAGGGCUGAUUUAAUAGCAGCUGGUGACCAACUGGGGUGAGCAGCUUUGAGGUAGGCAGCAGCACCACUGGCAUGAGGGCAAGACAUGGAUGUACCUGAAAUGAUGUUGAAGAGUGUGCUUCUAGUGUCGUCGUAGUAAACUGUGGAUGGUGAUACGGGAGACCAUCCGGCAAGAAUGUCCACACCAGGGGCUGUGAUAUCAGGCUGGUAUUCACAUAGUAUAGGAUGCAGUUAAGACACAAUAGAGCACGAGGGAAAAAUGGAUUUCUUGAUAAAGAAUUAUUAUGGCAUUGAUCACCUUGAGAAUGUCUGGAGAGAUAGGACUUGGCCCUCUAGAAGAAAAUGAAACGACGGUCGGAGCCAUGGGGUCUUGCCAUGCAUCGGUGAAGAAAAUGGUUGCUAUAGGAUUCCUGAAAUGGAAAUGUGUCACGCAAUCUAUAAACUUCGUCUUGAUUAUUGAAGGGAGUUCAAAAAAGAAGGGUAUGCAGCACUCACUCUGUGCUUCUAAUGUAUUCCAGAACACUUUUACCAUCUGAGGGGCUGAUGAGUGCAGUUGGUAGAGGCCAGCUGAAGGCAACAUCGAGAUUUUCAACAUUUACGUCCGACAUGAUAUUUCCAACACCGUUAGCCAGAAGAACUCCAGAACCAUCCCAGAUUGUGUCACAGUAAACAAUUUUACCAGACACUAUCUCGGCGUUCAUGGCUCCAGUUAGGCAAUAACCAGCGAUUUCUGGAUUGGCACCGGCAGUGUAGUUCGCAGCUUCUCCUCCCCAUAUUAAAGGUGAAGAUUUGGCCAUUUCCAAGUUCCAUUCUGGCAACAAAUUUUCUGUCAAUGGUGCUGGCAGCAACUGUGAGACUCCAUGGAGAAUAGUUGGAAACUGAUACAGGGAAAGGACCAGAAUUUCCAGCUGAGUUUGAAGUAAGGAUUCCAUUCUUCAUGGCAUGGAAUGAUCCAAUCGCGAUAGAGUCAUCAAAAUAAUCAAGAGGCCAGUCUGAUCCCAACGAAACGGAGAUGAUAUCAACUCCAUCUGCGAUUGCAUCAUCAAAGGCUUUAAGAAUAUCUGCAUCACUGCAACCAUCUGACCAGCAGACUUUGUACACUGCAAUUCUUGAACUGGGGACACCUCCUCGUGCUUUCCCUGCUGCUACACCGAAGUAGCUUGCUUCUACCUCAACCCCGGCAGCAGUUGAUGCUGUGUGUGUUCCAUGUCCUUCUGUAUCCCUUGGAGAGGGCAUGUCUCCAUCAUAGUACUGGUCAUCACUGUGAUAAAACCGUGCUCCAAUGAUCUUGCUGCACUCAUAAUGUUAAGAUAAUUCUGAUUAGCCAAUCCUAUAUAUCGCGAACUAAAGAAGAAAAUUUAUUGGUGUACAAACUCUACUACUUUCUGCCUGCUAAACAUUUUUCUAUAAUUUCACCUGUGAUACUUUUUUCCUGUUUGUCUCACUAAUUAAGUUUGUGAUAAAUUUAAAUGAGAAUGCUUACUUGUUGCAUGUGAAAUUUGUGCCUGUGCAGGUUCCCUUCCAUUUGGCUGGUGGAGAACUGAAACCUGUGUCGUUGAAACUUGGAUGCUCUGGCCAGACUCCUAUGGAUGGACAGCAGAGGAUGCAAGAAGUUGAGAUAAAAAAUAUUCAUAUAUUCCUCAUUGAAAUGGAAACUUCACGUAAUUUACCAGUGUCAAGGAGACCUAUAACGACAUCUGAUGUCGGUGUUGCUGCAAGUUUGUCUUUGCAAUCUAUUUAGUUAGAAUGAAUAUGUUGGAACCUCUUUGGUUGAUUUCGUUGCUCCGAGAUUGGAAUUAGCUCACCUGAAAUUCUGGUGGCUUCCUCGUCUGUGAGCUUGGCUGCAAAUCCAUUGAAACUUCUUCCAUAACUAUGGACCAACGAGUCUUUAGGCUGCUGAAGCACUGAAUCCAUUGAAACAGAGAGUCUUGCGAGGAUCAAGGUUCCUCUCUAUUUGUAAGGUUCAUGUUAUGUUUGGAAACAAACCUUCCGAGUACUCUAUGCAACAUUCCUUGAUGCUUGGAAGCAACCGAUGCACCUUCUUGAGGUCGAUCUCCCAUGUAGACAACGUGAAGCUGCAAAGACAACAGCUACUGACUGAGGGAGAGAGAGAGAGAGAGAGAGAGAGUUGAGAAAUUUGGCAUACCUUCCUUUCUAGGCAGUGGCAGUUGAGCACAAGGGCUGCAAGCACCAAAGGAUAGAGAAGUGAAAGCAGCCCGAUUUUCGCCAUUUCGAAUAGAAGAAAUAGACUCCGAUGGUUUGUUUUGUUGUUUAUAUAGGAAUGGAUUUGCAGCUGCAGGUUGUUUCCUCCGCAUGGUUUGAUGAGCUUAACCGGCAAUGAAAUGCCGCAGGCUACUUGUCUUGUUUUGAGAUUGCCGCCUCUACUUUCACAUAAUCUCUUGUUCAAUAGAUUCUGCAUUUUCCGAUAUUUCUCGGAUUAUUGUUAUCACAAUGUCACACUGUGUUGCAUGUAUUGUUUAACAUGUUUUAUUUUCAACAUGCCAAAAAGUAUGCUAAAUAUUUCUGUCAAUACAUCUUUGCAUAUUAAUAGAUCAA